GCCGCUAGGCGGCGCUAGGUAACAGUUACCACGGUAUUUACAUUUAAUGUAACCUACAACUUUAGUGACUUCAACAACUUCACAUUGUUCACAAAGUUGUAUCGUCAGCAAAGUUAAACGAUGCCGCGCUGUAUUGCAUUUGGAUGUACAUCAGGUUAUACAUCUAACAAAGAAAAAGUUCAUUUCUUUUUUGUUCCAAAAGACAAAAGUAUAAAACAAAUGUGGCAAGCAGCUUUAAAAAGAACAGACAUAAUUAUAAAUACAAAACAAGCUGUAUGUCAUUAUCAUUUUUUACCUACAGACAUUUUGUGGAAACGUAAAAUAUGUGACGAAAAAGGAAACGUUCUUGGAGUGUCUGCACUAUAUAAAAUACCAAAAUUACGUAAAGGGACUAUACCAUCACAGUUCCCUUGGGCUGAAGAAAUUUCAGACAAUAUUAUUGAAAAUAAUAUUACAGAAAAUAAUAUUACAGAAGAAAAUAUUACAAAAAGGGAAUAUCUUCAAGACAUAAAUGCA